GGCCGAGUGGCGCCGGAAGUGGGGAGGAACAAGGCAUGAAGGGUGACCUUUGACCUCGUUGCCCCCUUAAUCUAAGGGAUCUUUGACCCCGUUAGUGGAGCUGCGGGGUCAGGCUCUGCGCACUGCCCUUUGACCUCACCUCACGGGGGUCAGGGCCCAAAAUUGUGGUGCCCAGCGAGGGGCCGGGGUCGUGUGUGCACCCGUCCACGCCUCAACAGGAUACAGUUGACCCCUCCACAGGAGCCCUUCCCGCCCCUCGUACCGUGGUACCCCUGCUGGGUCGUCCCCCCGCCGGGACAACAGCUCGUCCGACGGAGCCGAUAACACCGAUCGUCUCCUCCACCCAAUGUAUCCGUCCCACUUCCAAAAAUCGAGCCCGGACGCAAGGCGGAGCGGAGAGGCACCGACGCCCGCCACGUGGCGCAGGAAACGCUGCCGAGCUCGAAGCCUUCCUGCCCCCCGGGUCUGACUGAAGAGUCGUGGUUCGUUAGGUUUCGGGUCGGCGCUCCUGUUGCAUCCCUGCGCGCCUUCAGAUAGAAACGGUCUUGGAGCCUGGGGGCCCGGGGCGAGGGCCGGCUCGCGGCUGUUCUCGCCGCGUGUGCGUUUGUGCCCCCGAAGUCACAAGAGAGCUCGUAUUGGGUUCGUUCCCUUCACGUUCAACAUCAUGAAUGACAAUGCGAAAACUCAUGCAAAUAACACUAGGCAAAUCAGAGGCAGAAGUUCCAAGUCAGUGCAUACAAACAGCAAUUUUGCUGUGAAAACAGACGCGAAACACAGGGACUUUGAAACCUUCCUAUAAUAUCUUCCUUGCGAACAAUGAUUUCUAUUCUCUGGCUGAUGUGUGUGUGUGUGUACAACACACUCGUUAUUAACGAGACAGAAAGAGUCCCUCUAAUUACUACUGUUUUCUCCCCGCCCAACACAAAGAGCGAAAUCCCCCACUGCAUAAUGAAUUCAGGACCAGGAUAUAAAAGCUUCAAUACUGUGGUUUUCUUAAAGAUAAUAUCGACGGCAGCAGUCCUGGUGUUUCUGAGUAACAACAACAAAGAGGUGCACAGUCCCACAAUGGAAAGAUACUUAUUAUUUAAGGAAACCUCUUAGUCACAAAUUUUCCAGGGAAAACGUUUUUAAAAGCUUGGGGUGUGGAGGUGGAAAUUUGUAUGUCCUGGCUUUGGUAGCAUUUUUCCAUGUGUAUUUUUAAAAACAUUUUGCUUCCCUCUUAAUACUAGAACUAUUUAUUUGCUAAUGUAUGACCCAAGCCAGGAAAACCUAUUGAUUUCAGUUAGACUACUGAUCAGCUUGAAGUUAACCGCAUGCUUCGGUGUGUUGCUGGAUUGAGGCGGGGAGGAGGGGUAUUAUGGAUAGUACCCUGCUUGAGAAAAAAUAAACUGACUUUUCACAGUAGGCAU